rnacentral:rRNA from 1 species
UAAACGACUCUCGGCAACGGAUAUCUCGGCUCACGCAUCGAUGAAGAACGUAGCAAAAUGCGAUACUUGGUGUGAAUUGCAGAAUCCCGUGAACCAUCGAGUUUUUGAACGCAAGUUGCGCCCAAAGCCAUUCGGCCGAGGGCACGUCUGCCUGGGCGUCACAC